AACUUUUGACAACGGAUCACUUGGUUCUGGCAUCGCUGAAGAACGCAGCGACAUGCGAUAAGUAAUGUGAAUUGCAGACUUCAGUGAAUCAUCGAAUCUUUGAACGCACAUUGCGCCCGCUGGUAUUCCACCGGGCAUGCCUGUUCGAGCGUCAUUUCAACCCUCAAAAGCUUGCUGUUGGUGGUGGAGGAAUACCUGUAAAAGGGUACCCUCUGAAAUUUAGUGGCGGGCUCGCUAGAAUUUUGAGCGUAGUAAUCUUUACCUCGUUUUUGAAGACUAGUGGGACUUCUUGCCGUAAAACCCCCCAACUUUCUUAAAUUUGACCUCGGAUCAGGUAGGAAUACCCGCUGAACUUAAGCAUAUCAAUAAGCGGAGGCU
rnacentral:misc_RNA from 1 species